AACCAGAUUAUUCACAGAACUAGAACAAACGAUCCUAAAAUCUGUGUGGAUCUACAAAAGACUCAAAUAGCCAAAGCAAUGUUGAAAAGCACAGAAGUAGAG